AGCAUUUCUUAGUCAUGCUGAGAUUUCGUCCGACAUAUGGUCAUUAUGACUUAUGAAACUUCCAAAAUAAGUGAAGCA
rnacentral:pre_miRNA from 1 species